CCUACGAUAAUGCUCGCUAGCUCUUGGUCUUUGUUGAAACUUUGCAACCACAAACUGAAGUUGGUUUAAAAACAAAGGUCUCUAGCGGAAACAGUACAGUCUACUGUUUGCCUUGUCGCAAAAUCAGUACUUUGGUGUCCAAGCCACAAACGAAGCUCCGCAGACGCGGCGCAGCAUUCGCUGACGACAACAACGUGCCCGAUCUGCUAUUGAUACUUUAUUGAUAGUAUCACAUAUUUAUUUCCGCGGGACUUGUUUCAUGGUGCGGACGUUCCUAGCGUCCUAGGUGAGCGACUGAAAGCUAACGCGACGCGAUGAGACACUAUGCAUGUUUAUGUGAUUGCGGCGACACAAAUUUCAUCCAUACAAUUGUUAUAAAUUAAAUACUAAUUAUAAAAUGAAAUCAUGGGAAUCAAAAUUCUUAUUAGUUCUGUGUUUUUGUUUACUAACUACAUCUGUAAGUUCACAGUUUCUCGAUGGUCCAUGGGUAGUUCAUGAGACUCCACUAUACAUAAAGAGAGCUCUCAGAGCGAAGGACAACUACAAGAUACCCCCAAAGGCUAAGAAAAGGAUGUACAACAACCUGUCCAUAAAGGAAGUUAUGGAAAAAAUUAAAUAUAUCACCAAGUACAUGAAUAUGUAUGCAAAGAAAAACGGAUUCAAAGUAGACUAUACUUUUAGGCUUACCUAAUAAAAACUAUAAUAAAUCUAA